GUGAGGAUUAGAACAAGAGCUCUGUUACCUUUUUCCCUACUUCCAAGAAGGUCUCCUUUCGCCUCCAAAUGACAAAAGGCUUUUUGCGAAAAGCAGACAAGCCUCGCUCUAUUUUUAUGAGAUGAUCGGAAAAUGCACUAGGAACAAUUCUAUCCUGUCCCUUUAAGUUUUAAAGAGCUUUUGGUUGAGACACCCCAGAGUGCUUGCUAUGAGCUAAUCUACUAUCCCCAUCCUCACAUUCCAUUACACUAAUGAGAAGUGGAGAGCGCCUCACAUUUGUCCUCCAGACACACACAAGGAGCAGGAGCAACUCACAGCAGGAGGUGGAGUCUGGGAAUCCGAUGACCUGGAGGUUUGCAAACGGCAGCCCUGCAAAGCCCUGCCUGAAGGAGGCUCGGGGGCAGGAGAGGGUCCAUGGAGGAGUCCAAGCUCCCAGGACCUGCUUCAACCACAACAGUGCCACCUUCAUCUGUUUUAUAUCAUAUAAGGCUUUUGGCACCUUUAAAAAAUAAAAUAAAUUUUAAAACAGUUUAAAAAUCACUGGCAUAA
rnacentral:lncRNA from 1 species